UUAAAUAAUAAUUAAUUUAAAAAAAAUAGUCAUCAUAAAAACUUCCCGAUUGAAAUACGACCUUGCGCGACAAGAUGGCUUCAUUAUUUAACAGUAGCUGUGUGAUUUCAUGACUGUGAUUUCCUGUAGGCUACUAGAAAAUAGUGAAAGCAGCGAAGGAAAUGGUGAAUAAGACUUUUAACGGUAGGAGAAGCAUGAGCAUUAAGAAUUCCCAAGCAAACAUAUCAACAUAGUCUACUAAUUUAAAAAAAAUAACAUGAAAUGUGGCUGAAAUAGCCACAUGAUCUGAGUGACUGAUGCUCGCAGUGGUCGAAUUGGUUAAGUUUUUCAUAAUAGUUCAGUCACUUUUAAAUUCUUUUAUGGCUGAAAGACAAGUCAGUGUGUGUGUGUGUGUGUGUGUGUGUAGGCCUAUAUGCGGGUGUCUAAGUACGUAAACUACAUGGAGUUAUGAAACUGAAGGAUUUGGUUAGAAUUAAAUGUGUAUGCAUGUAUGUAUGUCUAUGUAGCAUAUUGUGGGGGAAAACCGCUGAAAAGAUAUCCCUCAUCCUCGUUUUGUUUUAGCUCAUUUCCCCCCGCUUUUUUAGGUGGGACAAGCGCCUUCCUAUUCUAAUUGCAUUGUAAAUAUGCAUCACCAUGAUAAUGGGGUCGCGCGCAGGCGUAGCCCCGCCGCUCACGUGCGCUUCACAACUUCGGGCCCUCUCACUGCGUGUAGAUGGAGGACGGGGUCAGAGGAUAAACUAGCUUACAAGUAAAGUUCAAUUUCUCUCGGUAACAAACAAGGAGACGCAACUGGGCUUGUCCCGAAAAUAUGCAUGAGCCUAGCAACACGCGUGCAUAUAGGACAGCACGUGUCUCGAGCCGCCUGGGAUGAAAAUCUUUACGUGUGCCCGUCUGGCCACUUCUAUUGGGUGCCACCUCAGCUGAGCAGCUCGGAGCAAAGGUGCAUAAACUGAAGAGCGCUUAGACACGCACAAAAAAAAAAGUUCCGGAGAUGCGUGUUGCCUCGAGUGUCAGCGUGCAAAAGGGUAGAUUAUUAAUGGGCGGCGGACACUAAGCGUUGGUUUUAAGGGAGCCGGGAAAUAUGACCAUAACUGUCCGGCGGAAGCGAGUGAGGCGAAAUGGAGCUGUCUAAAAUAAAAUCCAGCAAUAAAAUCCAGCAUAAGGUGAAGAGAGAUGGGAGAUGAGGUCAAAUAAAAGAUGGAUUGCUCACUGUGCUGAGAGUAAAGGUUAAGAGCAUCAAUGGAUGAUGACUUCAACCCAUUUAUAGAUAUGCCCUGGAUCUGAGGGAUGGAUGAAUUGUCUUCUUUGAGAGUUUCCCAGAUUAUGUGUGUUGGUUUGUGGAGUGCAGACCAUAUACUAUAGCAGCUGGAAUUUUAAUAAAUUCGCAGUAGCAUCUGGAUUGACACAAGAUACAUGCCUUGAAUGUUGUAUACAAGUGAAGUCACUAUGCAAAGUGUGAUUGUACGGCCUUCUCCUUGCACAAAUAUUUUGGAUCAAAAUUUACUUGAAUAUGUUUGCACUAUGAAGUUUAUUUAUACAAUAAAUUGUUUAUUUUUCUAGAAGGACAUUGCAGUGUGUGAUUUGUUUUUCUGAAUUGUAGAUGAUGGAAUUUCUAAUACGGUGGAUAUUAAAAUGAUCAGUCUUAGGUCGACUGAAAUGGUAAAUGUGGCUCAAUCAUUAUUUCACCAAGAGAGUGCUACA